rnacentral:rRNA from 1 species
CAGCCGCCGCGGUAAUACGAAGGGGGCUAGCGUUGUUCGGAUUUACUGGGCGUAAAGCGCACGUAGGCGGAUCUUUAAGUCAGGGGUGAAAUCCCGAGGCUCAACCUCGGAACUGCCUUUGAUACUGGAGAUCUCGAGUCCGGGGGAGGUGAGUGGAACUGCGAGUGUAGAGGUGAAAUUCGUAGAUAUUCGCAAGAACACCAGUGGCGAAGGCGGCUCACUGGCCCGGAACUGACGCUGAGGUGCGAAAGCGUGGGGAGCAAACAGGAUUAGAUACCCCGGUAGUCCCUGUCUCUUAUAC